GCUUGGAUAGCUCAGUUGGUUAAGCGUCUGACUUUGGCUCAGGUCAUGAUCUCGCGGUUUGUGAGUUCGAGCCCCGCAUCAGGCU
rnacentral:tRNA from 1 species